CCCAGACAGCCAGGAUGUUGGCUUAGAAGCAGCCAUCAUUUAAAGAAAGCGUAAUAGCUCACUGGUCGAGUCGGCCUGCGCGGAAGAUGUAACGGGGCUAAACCAUGCACCGAAGCUGCGGCAGCGACGCUGAUGCGUUGUUGGGUAGGGGAGCGUUCUGUAAGCCUGUGAAGGUGGCCUGUGAGGGUUGCUGGAGGUAUCAGAAGUGCGAAUGCUGACAUAAGUAACGAUAAAGCGGGUGAAAAGCCCGCUCGCCGGAAGACCAAGGGUUCCUGUCCAACGUUAAUCGGGGCAGGGUGAGUCGACCCCUAAGGCGAGGCCGAAAGGCGUAGUCGAUGGGAAACGGGUUAAUAUUCCCGUACUUGGUGUUACUGCGAAGGGGGGACGGAGAAGGCUAUGUUGGCCGGGCGACGGUUGUCCCGGUUUAAGCGUGUAGGUGUGUGUUCCAGGUAAAUCCGGUUCACUUUAACACUGAGGCGUGACGACGAGGCACUACGGUGCUGAAGCAACAAAUGCCCUGCUUCCAGGAAAAGCCUCUAAGCAUCAGGUAACAUCAAAUCGUACCCCAAACCGACACAGGUGGUCAGGUAGAGAAUACCAAGGCGCUUGAGAGAACUCGGGUGAAGGAACUAGGCAAAAUGGUGCCGUAACUUCGGGAGAAGGCACGCUGACACGUAGGUGAAGUGAUUUACUCAUGGAGCUGAAGUCAGUCGAAGAUACCAGCUGGCUGCAACUGUUUAUUAAAAACACAGCACUGUGCAAACACGAAAGUGGACGUAUACGGUGUGACGCCUGCCCGGUGCCGGAAGGUUAAUUGAUGGGGUCAGCGCAAGCGAAGCUCCUGAUCGAAGCCCCGGUAAACGGCGGCCGUAACUAUAACGGUCCUAAGGUAGCGAAAUUCCUUGUCGGGUAAGUUCCGACCUGCACGAAUGGCGUAAUGAUGGCCAGGCUGUCUCCACCCGAGACUCAGUGAAAUUGAACUCGCUGUGAAGAUGCAGUGUACCCGCGGCAAGACGGAAAGACCCCGUGAACCUUUACUAUAGCUUGACACUGAACAUUGAGCCUUGAUGUGUAGGAUAGGUGGGAGGCUUUGAAGUGUGGACGCCAGUCUGCAUGGAGCCGACCUUGAAAUACCACCCUUUAAUGUUUGAUGUUCUAACGUGGACCCGUGAUCCGGGUUGCGGACAGUGUCUGGUGGGUAGUUUGACUGGGGCGGUCUCCUCCUAAAGAGUAACGGAGGAGCACGAAGGUUGGCUAAUCCUGGUCGGACAUCAGGAGGUUAGUGCAAUGGCAUAAGC
rnacentral:rRNA from 1 species